AGUGAACGCUGGCGAUAGGCCUAACACAUGCAAGUCGAACGGCAGCACAGUAAGAGCUUGCUCUUACGGGUGGCGAGUGGCGGACGGGUGAGGAAUACAUCGGAAUCUACUUUUUCGUGGGGGAUAACGUAGGGAAACUUACGCUAAUACCGCAUACGACCUACGGGUGAAAGCAGGGGAUCUUCGGACCUUGCGCGAUUGAAUGAGCCGAUGUCGGCUUAGCUAGUUGGCGGGGUAAAGGCCCACCAAGGCGACGAUCCGUAGCUGGUCUGAGAGGAUGAUCAGCCAAACUGGAACUGAGACACGGUCCAGACUCCUACGGGAGGCAGCAGUGGCGAAAACUGGACCAUGGGCGCAAGCCUGAUCCAGCCAUACCGCGUGGGUGAAGAAGGCCUUCGGGUUGUAAAGCCCUUUUGUUGGGAAAGAAAAGCAGCAGGUUAAUACCCCGCUGUUCUGACGGUACCCAAAGAAUAAGCAACGGCUAACUUCGUG
rnacentral:rRNA from 1 species